AAACUACUCCCUCCGUCCCAAAAUUCUUGUCUUAGAUUUGUCUAAAUACGGAUGUAUCAAGUCACAUUUUAGUAUUAGAUACAUCCGUAUCUAGACAAAUCUAAGACAAGAAUUUUGGGACGAGGCAGUAUUAU
rfam:Triticum aestivum genome assembly, contig: Triticum_aestivum_CS42_TGACv1_scaffold_274025_3DS